UCAAAUCAUAGAUUUAUUUCCGCGUUGUAAUUGGCUAAUCAGGUCAAAGAGUAAGAUGUAUUUUAAAACGUAUUUAAUUAAUGUCCUUCGAAGUUUUGUGCAGUACUUUUACAUAGAGAAAAAGUGAUAUCGAAUUAAAACUAUAUAAAAGAUAGAUACACGUAUAUAUAGGUGGAUCAAGAUAAAAUCAUCAACUAGGAUCUUUCAUUAUUUCUUUAGAAAUGCAUAAAGAGUCGAGUAAAGUCAAAGAAAUCAUUGCAAGUUUCAAAUCUGAAAACGUGUAGAAACAAGCACGCGAGCGUCUUCAUAAGGAGAGUAAAAGAGGCCAGAGAAAAGAGAUAAAAAGAAAGGACUAGUUUGUUCUAUCUUUCUUGUGCUCACUCUUUUAUAUACCCCCCGCAGUCGAAGAUCUUCCAAAUACGUAAGUCAUUUCGUGCUUGCUUGCGUACAAAAAGAAGAAGAAGAAGAAGAAGGAAAGGGAGGAAAAGAGAAGAAGUGACGAGAGAAUACGGUAUAUCUCAAAUCUUCUUUCAUACGUGUUGUAUGUGUGUUAAUUCAAGAGUGUGCAUAAAUAUGACCAUAUGCGAGCAUUAAAUGUGCAUGUGUAUUAAUCAUAAGGGAUGAAAAUGAAAGAUAACAAACGAGAAUGUGUGAAAAAGAAAACAAAACUACUACUCCCAGUGAUCCAAGAGCCUCUAUUUUCUACACCGGUAUUCGUGGUAUAUCUUUAAGAAUGAAUUAUGUUUAAAUCUGACACAUUAUAUAUAUUUAUAUACUAUAUAAAAUAUAUAAAAUAUAUAGAUAUAUAUAUAUAAAUA